GACGAACGCUGGCGGCGUGCUUAACACAUGCAAGUCGAACGGAAAGGCCCAGCUUGCUGGGUACUCGAGUGGCGAACGGGUGAGUAACACGUGGGUGAUCUGCCCCUGACUUUGGGAUAAGCCUGGGAAACUGGGUCUAAUACCGGAUAUGACCUUACAUCGCAUGGUGUUUGGUGGAAAGCUUUUGCGGUUGGGGAUGGGCCCGCGGCCUAUCAGCUUGUUGGUGGGGUAAUGGCCUACCAAGGCGACGACGGGUUGCCGACCUGAGAGGGUGAUCGGCCACACUGGGACUGAGACACGGCCCAGACUCCUACGGGAGGCAGCAGUGGGGAAUAUUGCACAAUGGGCGCAAGCCUGAUGCAGCGACGCCGCGUGAGGGAUGACGGCCUUCGGGUUGUAAACCUCUUUCACCAGGGACGAAGCGUGAGUGACGGUACCUGGAGAAGAAGCACCGGCCAACUACGUG
rnacentral:rRNA from 1 species